AGCGGUUAUAAAAUCAGAGUGUGUUACUUUCUGUGCUUGGAUUGGAAAUGGCGAUGAAAUCAACAAGUGUCAUUGCAAUUGCUGUGGUGCUGCUGGUUCUCUUGGGGGGUGCGAUGCAAGCUGAAGCUGCUGGACAGCGGGCGCUCCUCCAGCGAGUUUGCCCAGCUGUGUGCCAGUACACUCGAGUGGUUUGCGGAGGCGUUCUGAAUAGGAAUGCAUGCUUUAACUCUUGCAAUCUCCCGCGAGGAUGCCGACCAGUGUGAUCUGAUCCACAGUCCCACGUUAUCCCAUCAAUAAAGAGCUAUCUUGUUUGUUAUGGUACCAGUUUAGGGUUCUAGCGGAGUUCAGGACCAGGAAGUGAAAGCUCUCGUUUCCUGCCAUGCAUCUUCACCAGGAUGGGAGAGUCGUCGGCAUUCCGGAGCUGGAGCUGGGAAGUGCCAGCGUUUGAGCCCAGGAGUUCUUCCGCGGCGAAUAGCACCUUGUGGAGUGACGUGGAUGGAAACAAUUUGCAAACUCCAUCUUCUUGGCGCUUAAAGGAAGAGGAGGAAAUUCGGAAAUGCUCCAUUCCUCCAUCACCAUGCCCGGCGGUACCGUCCUGGCGUGCUAUUUCGUGAGCCAUGGUAGACCCUUUUGCAAGGCUUCUCGACUGUACCGCGCGGUGAGAAGAUGAACGCUCACACAUUUCCAUCCCAAAGGACGCCGCCAAAGCCAUUGAGCUGCGUCUUGGAAACUAAGUGGCUGGAGGACUUUGUGAAAAGGUAUACCAGCCUUUUGUGGAGCAACUCCUGGAUUCCAUGGAGGUGAAGGUGAAGUUUGUCCAACCGCGAUAUCGGCAAACCAGGGCUUACCAGUAUGGCUUGAGCCCUUAGGUGGAAAGAUGGACGAAGAAAGGAGCUGCUGCUGCUGCUACAGCUGAGAAGAUCACUCAAAAAUAAACUAAAGAGAAAAUCACAUCGACACAAGCUAAAGAAAGCAUCGAUCCCAACUGGAGAAGAAAAACAGAAGGACAAGAAAAUAGCGGAAGCCGAGCCGGAGGUCGUGGUGUCCACAUCGCUGCAAUACUCGAGCGGAACAAGGAUGAUCAAGUUUCCACGGGUUUGACACCGGGGGAAAGAGCGGCACACCGGACGACUUGGUGGCGGACUUGAGCACCGCACUGGAGAUGACGACGGCUUUGAGGCGAAGAUCGAUGGAGCAAACAUGGCCUUUAGCUUGGGUUACGACGCCCACACAGAACCGCUCUCACUUCAUAUCCUCGAGUACGAAGUUUUGGACCGGUGGAUUACUGAGCACAACGAAAGGCUGUUUCGCUUGCUGGGGGACGAGCCGGGAAAGAUGAUACUCUAUGGCGAGUGGAUGGUGGCCAUUCACUCGAUCCAUUACUAGGAUACCGGACUACUUCAUCGCAUUUGACAUCCUGGACGUUGAAAAGGAGAGAUUUUACAGCCGGGAGAGGUUUAACGCUGGGAUCAAGCAAGCGAACGAGCUGAGGAGGAGUCGAUAGAAAAAGUUCCCGGGAUCUUCAUGGUUGAUGGGAUGCUGGUCAAGAGCAAGGCCAAGUGGAUGAAGCUGCUGAUGUCUUGCAACUCGGCGGACAGGGAUGGAGCCGUGGAGGGGAUUUACGUCAGGAUUGACGAGAGGGAUUGGUGGUGAGGCCGGAUUUUGUUCCAAGGAAUGAGCAGUGGUCCAAAUUUAAGAUCACGAAGAACAUACGUCAACGUUAA